rnacentral:rRNA from 1 species
UACGUAGGGUGCAAGCGUUGUCCGGAAUUAUUGGGCGUAAAGAGCUCGUAGGCGGUUUGUCGCGUCUGCUGUGAAAACUGGAGGCUCAAUCUCCAGCCUGCAGUGGGUACGGGCAGACUAGAGUGCGGUAGGGGAGAUUGGAAUUCCUGGUGUAGCGGUGGAAUGCGCAGAUAUCAGGAGGAACACCGAUGGCGAAGGCAGAUCUCUGGGCCGUAACUGACGCUGAGGAGCGAAAGCAUGGGGAGCGAACAGG